UGUGUUGGGAUGUCUAGACAGUAGCAUUCGGCAGUUAUUUUAUUAUUAUUUUUUUUUUAUCGUCUUCAUUAUUGUCAUCUUUCUACAGCGAGUCCCAAGAAGGAGUUUCUCUAAAUUAAAACUAUAACAAUUUUUUUUUUUUUAAUCGAAAUUAUUAAUGCAGUCAUAAAACGCCAGUUAAACUGUUGCACGGUUAAUGAGAAAAUUGCAAAAGUGGAACGAACUUCGAAGAAUUUUUUUUUUUUUCCUCCUAUAAUUUCCGGAUUAUUCUAAGAAUGGUAAUCAAGGCGUUAAAUUUUGAAGCGAGUUAUGUUGACCUCAAUUAUCGAAUCGUAUCGGCGAAUAAUCGCCUGGCAUAUCCUACUAAUAAUUAUAAUAACCGAAUUAUUAUAACUGUAUGUUACCCAUCAAUGUUUAAACUACGAGUAGGAAUAUAUUCGGAUAGCAUAACAACAUUAAAACCCGUGAUAAAACUGGUAUAUUUGUUAGAAGGAAAAACGGGGGUUUGAGUGAGUGGGUGGAGAUGGAGACGUCAAGUGAUUGUAAUCUGAUUUCGAAUCGAAAAAAAAAUAUCACAGCAAGAUUUGAAGUUUAAACAACGACUGCAGAAAAACAAACUGGCUUUAAUCCCUUUGGCAUUUGCUGAAGGACGGGGACAUUCACGAAACUCUAGAGGACAUCAAAAAAAGUCAAAACAAGAUUUUUGGCUAUUCGCAUGAGAGUGACCAAAAAAACGAAAAAUAUCUUCCUUUUUCUGCAGUCUUUUUGACUUAUUCUGACGUGUUCUUUUCCAUUCCUUCUUCCUCCUCCUCCUUUACGCGCGAUUUCUUUAGUUCUUUGACAUAUUGAAUUUUCUCCAUAUUUCCUUAUUUGUUUACGGUUGAUUUCGGCAAUUUUAAUACUCUUGCCGUCGAAUAGACAGUAAAUUACUCUCGU
rnacentral:lncRNA from 1 species